rnacentral:rRNA from 1 species
AGAGCGAACGCUGGCGGCAGGCCUAACACAUGCAAGUCGAGCGCCGUAGCAAUACGGAGCGGCAGACGGGAGAGUAACACGUGGGAACGUACCCUUCAGUUCGGAACAACCCAGGGAAACUUGGGCUAAUACCGAAUACGUCCGUAAGGAGAAAGAUUUAUCGCUGAAGGAUCGGCCCGCGUCUGAUUAGCUUGUUGGUGAGGUAAUGGCUCACCAAGGCUACGAUCAGUAGCUGGUCUGAGAGGAUGAUCAGCCUCACUGGGACUGAGACACGGCCCAGACUCCUACGGGAGGCAGCAGUGGGGAAUAUUGGACAAUGGGCGCAAGCCUGAUCCAGCCAUGCCGCGUGGGUGAUGAAGGCCCUAGGGUUGUAAAGCCCUUUCGGCGGGAAGAUAAUGACGGUACCGCAGAAGAAGCCCGGCUAACUUCGCGCCAGCAGCCGC